AUUGAACGCUGGCGGCAUGCCUUACACAUGCAAGUCGAACGGUAACAGGUCUUCGGAUGCUGACGUGUGGCGAACGGGUGAGUAAUGUAUCGGAACGUGCCCAGUUGUGGGGGAUAACUGCUCGAAAGAGCAGCUAAUACCGCAUACGACCUGAGGGUGAAAGCGGGGGAUCGCAAGACCUCGCGCAAUUGGAGCGGCCGAUAUCAGAUUAGGUAGUUGGUGGGGUAAAGGCUCACCAAGCCGACGAUCUGUAGCUGGUCUGAGAGGACGACCAGCCACACUGGGACUGAGACACGGCCCAGACUCCUACGGGAGGCAGCAGUGGGGAAUUAUGGACAAUGGACGCAAGUCUGAUCCAGCCAUGCCGCGUGCGGGAAGAAGGCCUUCGGGUUGUAAACCGCUUUUGUCAGGGAAGAAAAGGCUCCUCCUAAUAUAGGGGGCUCAUGACGGUACCUGAAGAAUAAGCACCGGCUAACUACGUGCCAGCCGCCGCCGUAA
rnacentral:rRNA from 1 species